rnacentral:tRNA from 1 species
GGAGGGGGCUGAUUCCCGGGCAGGCAGAGGCUCCCCUGCUAAGGGAGUAUACCCCAAAAGGGUAUCGAGGGUUCGAAUCCCUUCCUCUCCG